rnacentral:rRNA from 1 species
AGAGUUUGAUCCUGGCUCAGGACGAACGCUGGCGGCGUGCCUAACACAUGCAAGUCGAACGGAAAUAUGAGGAAGAUUUAUCAGAAUCAUAUUUUAGUGGCGGACGGGUGAGUAACGCGUGGGUAACCUGCCCUAAAGUGGGGGACAACUCAGGGAAACUUGAGCUAAUACCGCAUGACAUAUCUAUCUCGCAUGGGAGAGAUAUCAAAGGAGUAAUCCGCUUUUGGAUGGACCCGCGUCUGAUUAGCUAGUUGGUAAGGUAACGGCUUACCAAGGCGACGAUCAGUAGCCGGACUGAGAGGUCGAACGGCCACAUUGGGACUGAGACACGGCCCAGACUCCUACGGGAGGCAGCAGUGGGGAAUAUUGCGCAAUGGAGGAAACUCUGACGCAGCAACGCCGCGUGAAGGAUGAAGGAUUUUGGUCUGUAAACUUUUUUAAUCUGUGACGAAUAAUGACGGUAGCAGAGGAAUAAGCCCCGGCUAACUACGUGCCAGCAGCCGCGGUAAUACGUAGGGGGCUAGCGUUGUCCGGAAUUACUGGGUGUAAAGGGUGCGUAGGCGGGCACUUAAGUCAGAUGUGAAAACCACGGGCUCAACUUGUGGACUGCAUUUGAAACUGGGUGUCUUGAGUACAGGAGAGGAAAGUGGAAUUCCUAGUGUAGCGGUGAAAUGCGUAGAUAUUAGGAGGAACACCAGUGGCGAAGGCGACUUUCUGGACUGACACUGACGCUGAGGCACGAAAGUGUGGGGAGCAAACAGGAUUAGAUACCCUGGUAGUCCACACUGUAAACGAUGGAU